rnacentral:lncRNA from 1 species
UAUAUUCACACCCUUUUAUAUAGUACUCUUUCUACUGUUCAUGAUAUGAACUUUACAAACAGAAACAUUGGAGGAUAUAUAUUUUUUUCUAUCUAUUAUUUUUAUCUAUUUGGCUUUGAUCUUUUUAUCAUCGGGUGUUGAAAGAGUCUUCGUCAACCUCCCUCACGAUCGUGCUCGCAAUAGGAGGAAUUCCGGUAGUACCUUGGGGCGGUGUUUCCGGUUAAUCCCGCACGUAAGGACGGAAAUACGCCUUAGGGCAGUGCCUCGCACGCUUCCGGAUCAAUUAAAUAUUUAUUUGAAUUUGCGUUUAUAUGUAAGUUUGUAUUUAUUUAUUUUUAUAAUAAUAUUUAGUUAAAUUUAAAUCACAAUUAAAUUUUCGUUGCGGUAUUUAUUCUAACACAAAUUAAAUAGAGUUAUGUACGAAGUGGCAGAAGAUUUAUUAAGCUGAGUCACAAUCCAACUGUACCUUUUUAAGUGAAUUAAUUACGUAUUUUUAACUGUGCUUUUGGGAUUAAAGAUACCGGCGGGACGGGGGCGGUCGAGGAAGAGAAGCCGAUCCUGGUCUUCCGCAGCUCGAGGGCGAAGAGGAGCAUCGGCAACCACACGGCGGCCUGCAGCACGGAGAGCUGCACCACCAGGUCCUGCGCCCACUUGCCGUACAUGGCCCGCACCAGCGGCACCCCGACCACCAGCGUGUUGUUCAGCGCCGCCAGAGCGAACCCCGUCACCGCCCACCCCCCGCCCGAUCCGCCUUCCUUCUUCUCCCUCGCCGUCCUGCCGACGCACGCCGCCGCCGCCCACACGCACGCCAGCGCGACGACCGCCAGCGCCUUCGCGAUGGCGUCGGCCGCCAGCACGCGGUAGUUCAUGGCCAGCGUGUUGGUGUGGACAGUGAAGUCGAAGCCGAAGAAGGGGAGGAUGAAGAGCGUCACCAGGCGGUUGAUGGCGCCGCAUUGCUCCGGCGUGAACACCUUCCACCACCUCACCGACCCGUAGCCGAGCACCAGCGCCACGUACAGCGGCGCCAUCGCCGCCGCCACCUUAUACACGUCCCCCCACCCUAUCAUCCCAGAUCACUCUCUCUCUCUCUCUCUCUCCAGUGAGUUACCUUACGUUCCUACUAUUGCUUUAGAUAGAGUGGUUAUAUAUAUAGAGUGCGUAUUGCUUUAGAUAGAGUGGUUAUAUAUAUAGAGUGCGUCUGGUAUGGUUUUAGAAGCACGGAGCAUUCUGUGCUUCCAAGUUAUUUUCGAUGUUUGGACUUUCGAAUUGACGAUCGGCUCAGUUAGACUUGAUCUAGAGAAUUUGAAGUAUCAAGAAAAUAAAUUUAGCGAUUUUUCGAUAUUAUUUGCCUAGUGAUCGAAGUGGCUCAAAAUCAAUGACUGAAAAUAAAAAUCUUACAAAAUAUGAUAAUAUGACAUUAAAAUUUUAGAUCAAAGUUACUGAUCUUGUUUUGUAUGGUAUAAAGAAUUCUCUAUCAAAAUUUCAUGUGAUUUGGAUAUUUCUACACCGUUAAACUUGCAACCGGCUCACUACGGCCAUUAAAAUUAUUGAUUUUGAGCCCCUUCGAUCACUAGGCAAAUGAUAUCAAAAAAUCACAAAAUUUAUUUUCUAGAUACUUCAAAUACUCUAGAUCAAUUCUAACGGAGCCGAUCGUCAAUUCGAAAGUCCGAACAUCGAAAACAACUUGAAAGCACGGAGGGCUCUAUACUUCCAGAAACAUACCAGCCCUCUCUCUCUCUCUCUAUAUAUAUAUAUAGAACUAGGCUGGAAUACUAUCGAUAGCACCAAGGGCUUGGUGCUAUUAGGUUUUUAGGCUUUAGAUUGAGAAAUGUGCGUUUAGAAUGAUGUGGGCCUCUUAGGGUUGAUUAGGUGGUUGGUUAAAUAGUAUAAUCUAACGGAUAAAAAUAAUCAAAGGAUUAAAUCUAACGGUGAAAAACUAAAUAGCAACAAGCCCUUGGUGCUAUCGAUAGUAUUCCAGCCAUACUAUAUAUAUAUAUAUAUAUAGCAUGCAAAGGGUUGAGGGUUGGUAUAUAUGUAUACAUAUGCGUAACGUGGUUCAUGCAUGAUACCAGCAGCACUGGAGCCACAAGUUUUAUGUAGAAUUAAGGCGCACAAUGGAUGGUCAACAAAAUUUUAAACAUCUCUAUUAGCUUUAGUUUUCCCAUAUUUUAUAAAUUAUACCAAAGUUAAACUCUGCCUUACAAGAAAGAUAAAUAUAUAUAUAUACUAGUAAAUUUUAAUUCUGACUCGUUGGUUAACUAAAAUAUUCUUAAUUACUCAAAAAAUUUUAACAAUGAAGGACACUAGAUAAUAAUUUACAAUAUUUUUCUUCACUAAUAUAAAGAAAUUAAUUUGGGGAUCAAGUAGGGCCAGUUACCGCUGCAUGUUAUAUCGUUUUCUGGUAGAUUAAAUUUUUAAAGAAACACAAUAAUUUUGGAUUUAUCAUACAUUUCCGAAGGGAAAAGUGCUUUGGAACAUUAGAAAGGUGAGUGAGUGAGGUGUGAGGGAGAGAGAAGGCAUAAAAUUAAAGGCUAAUCUUGUAGUGGAUGCGCAUGUAUAUGCUUAUGCAAUGUUGUCCAUUAAUGCAUGUGAUAUAGAAGUAGAGACAAAAUUGGAAAAGGAUACUUAAAAAGAGACAAACUUUAAUUAAGAGUCCUAAUGAAAAAGAGCUAGCUAUACUAUGGUUACCCAAGCCAUAUAUUCUAUCAAAAUGAUGCUCUACUCCAUUUGCAAUGAUACUUUUGGCUAAACCAAGAUACAGUUGAUGUGAACAUGAAGUACUGCAUAUGAAUUUGAUGUUGCAUGCAUAUGCCUUGUGUGUGCUUGGCCAAGGAUGUUGAGUUUUAAUGAAUUUCUCUCCUCGUACUAAAAUAAUUUCUUAUCUUUUACCAAACAGCAAAACAAAAUAAAUUUUUUCAAUCCAACUUCGAUUUAACGCAAACAAAAAUUUCAUCCGAUCGAAUUUCGUUAAAUUUAUUCUAUUCAAGCAUUUUGCCAAGUGUCUGCAAGUGGAAUAAAGCCCUUCAUUACAAGCUCGAUCAUCAUACUACUUUUUCACUUUUUUUUACCAUUAAUUUUCGACUCGUGCCCUAACCUUUUAGCAUUUGUUGUCAAUGCAUAAAAAAGUAAUCUACAACUAUGAAAUUUCAAUUUAAAAAAUGAUUCUUUUGUGCCAAAAACAACCAAACAAUGUGCCAUUCCUAGUCAUCUACCACAACUAUAUAUAUAUAUAUAUAUAUAUAUAUAUAUAUAAUGCCUAAAGGUUUAUUUGUUUGGAUUGAAUGGAGCUUGUAAAUUUAAACACAAAUAGAUCAGUUUCUUGUUCUUUGUCAAAGUCCUACCAUUAACUUUCGCUGUAAAUGCCAUUAUAAACAUAAUAGGUUCCAAAUUAAAACCCGAACUUUGGGAGCUUAAUUACUAAUAAGAGCGAAGCCUUAUUUGUUAAAAUAUAAAAAUAUAUAAACACCGUUCUCUACAGCUUAAGGUUUUAGAGUACAACAGUUGUUUCACAUUAUUCUUGUUUUUGCUGGUUAGCUUGUAAUAAUACAACGGAUUACAGAAUAACAACAUCUUGGGAAAAAAAAAAAGAAGAAGACACAAAUAGAAAAAGCACAAAGACCAAACAAGACUAAGCUACUUAAUAUGUUUUUCAAAGCAUUGGACUGCUUAAUCUCCUAGCUAGCAUAGAAACUUUUCCAUAUCCAGGAUAACAUGCACUCAAAUAUAUAUAUAUAUGCAUGUCUUAAUUUGGCCAUUUAUGCUGAGCUUAAGAGCACUUCUAGCAGUAUCUGGCUUUUAUACUAUAGUAAAUGGGCAGCUAAGAGAGAGGGGACAGUAAGAAUAAUGGAGCACUAAUGAAGUGCUUUGUUGAGCCUUACAUAGUUACAUAUAUACUUAAUUGUCUAUACUAGGAAGCAGACAAAAUAAGGUAGUUUGGCCAUAGGAUCUUUCUCAUUCUUUUGUCAUUUAAACCUUUUGGCAUCUCUUCUUGAACCAUUGUCGUUUCAUCUAAAUAGUGCCUAAAAAAUUGAUAUGAUAAUAAGACAAUAUAUUCACAAAUAGUCUUAGGCCAAAUUUGAUAAUGUGAUCGCUAAAAGCAUCUUUUUACACAAUAAAAAAUGCGAAAAAAAAAAAUCUAAAAGUGCUUAUGAUAAAUCUUUCCUCCUCCGAUGCUUUAAAAUUCAACUGCUACCGGAGAAGCAUGCAUGUAGCGACAUUCUUGUCUGAUAGUGCUUGCAACGACAAUUAUAUAAUAUAAAGAAGUAAAGAUUGAAAACAACUCUUUUGAAAUUCUAAACUUCUAUAGUAUAAUGGUGCUUUUAGCCAUCAUGUCAUCAAACUAGAUCUUAAUAUCUCUAUUCACAUAAGUGUUGAAGACCAUGGAAGCCAUGGCAUGUGCACCCGCGGAAAAAAACAUAAUAAUAGUGAUAAUAAUAAUAGAAAGGCCGAAAAAAAAAAGAAGAAGAACCCACACCAUUAAAGAGUGAGUGUGGGAAUUAAGCUUAGGACUGCUUGGAAUCAAGAGCACUUUGGAUCGACUUCGAUGCCCUAACACCCAAAAGAGUCGAUAAGAUAUGUAACGGUACUAAAAUAGUUUAGUACUAAAUUAAUGGUAUUUAUGCUUUAAAUGAUAAUUGGUAUCAAAUUCCUUAUCAAUUUCUUGUUGAGAAGAAUGACUAAUUAAACUUAGUGGAUUUCCAAAUCAUCUACCAUUCGAGAAUUUUUCUAGCGAAAUGUUUAGGGACGAAAACAACCCAAGCACAUAAAGAGAGGCUAAUAUAUUAUAUAUGUUGCCCUUCCAAGUCAUCUAUCACAAAGUGAUGCUUCUUGUAUCUUUCCAUGUUGAUGCGCUAUAAUGUUUAGUUCUUUCCAUGAAGAAUAGAGCGAAACAUGAAGAGUGAAAAACUUUUAACAAAGAAAAGGACUUAAUUAGGACAUGAACAGUCCUAGAACUUAACAAUGCCUAUUGCUCUACAUCUACUUCUUAAUUCUAGUCUAAUUUCAGUUCUGAGCCAUGAUUGAGCUCCUCAAAUGAAUUAUAUGCAAAAGUGUAUAGUUUAGUAAGUGUUGCAAUCAAAUAUUCCACGUAUAUGAAGACGUCCCAUUUUUCUCAAAGCUUUUGCUUGAGAGAUCCUAUACUACGUACGGAUCACAUUUAUUAAAUUAAAUUUUAACCCAUCUAUAAGUGAUUGCAGUGUAUAAAGUGUGCACACACCCAUUGAUUGGUCUCAGUUGGUUAAGGUGCACUUACAGGAUGCAUGUUUGGUGCUAUGUAAUUGCAAGUGUACUGUAGUUGUAAGUGCAAGUUUUUUUUUUUUUUUCUUUUUUUUUUUGGAGAGAUAACUAGCACAGUCUGCUUCAUUUAUUUCAUUUAGAAAUAAAUUUAGUUGGAAAAGUGAAUCAAUUAUGAUUUGAAUUUGGAACCUUCGAUACCAACCACCAAGCCCUUUGUCAUUUGCUCUGGGCAUGAUUGGUGAUUGCAAGUAUAUUAAGUUAGAGUUUUAUAUCCCUAAUCAAAUCAAGACCAAGCCCAACCUUUUGAGAGCCUAAGCUGGUCGUGUCAACCGGCUAAGAUUCAACCCAAUUAACUAGCCCAGCACAAACGGUCUAAUUUAGUUCAAUAACAGGAUUCCGCCUUUUUCUAUUUCUUUUUCUUUUUUUUUUUUUCCGCGCUCUUCUUUUUCUUUUUUUAUUGUUUAGCUUUUUUGCUACCUGUUUUUUUUUUUUUUUUUUUCCUCCUGAAGGCCUUUCUAUAGUUAAGUUUUUUCUGUAGCUAAGUUGGUGACUCUUAAUGAAUGAGGUGGGUAACAUACUAUUUCCUCUAAAAAAAAGAUCCUUUUAUUUGGCCAUCAUUUUCUCAUUUUGAGUUUUUAUAGUAAAAUGUUUGAUAAUUAGAAAAGUCUUUAGCUUUUGCUGUUGCCAAAAGUAGGAAAUUGAAUUUUGUUUUUCAGAAAAGAGGUUGAUUAAUUAUAGCACUCCUCCUAACAGAAGUUUUCCAGAUCAUGACCUGCUUCAUAAAAAAGCACUACAUCACAUGGUUGAGCUAAAUAGGUUCAUGAAAUUAUUCGAUGAAGUGUUAUUUGAAAGGUACUUUUAGAAAUUAAAGGAUCAUACUAAAACUCUCCAACAAGCAAAUUUUGGAGCUGCAAAUUAUAUGCUUAAUAUUUGCGGAUUAGAAUCUCACUUCAGCUUCCCAUCGCCACAUAUAUAUGUUUCAAACUUUUAUUUUCACCAAAAUAAUUAAGCCAAAUGUAUAAGCAGGUGAAGCAAGAAAAGAGUAACUUUAAGGGGAAAAAAAAACAAAAAAAGAAAAAAAAAUUAUGAGGUGGGAGUUACAUAUUCCGGACCCAAUGUAGGCUCGGAUCAAGCUAGGAUUCGGGCUCCAUUUGACUUCCAAGUGGAGCCUAAGAGUUCAACAAAACUAUUAAGAGAACUAAAAAGAAAAUUGUUAUUUAUGUACAUAUUUGUGAUGGGCAAUGGAGACUUAAUUAAUUAUCUUAUUAAACCCAGAAGAACAUAAUAUGCGAUUAGCACAGGCAUGGAAACAAGCGUUCCAAAGAUGAUCCUGCAAAGUUAAUCGACAUAAUUUAGAAUACUAAUUAAUUAAACCAAUCAAUCUUAUCAGAAUUCUAAAAUAAAAAUAUUUGCAGUUUAUUGAAGAGCUUACGCUGUACUGAGCACCUCAGCAUGCAAUCCAUACUCCUUUGCAAAAACAAAUGUGGCGAUCGAUUGAGGCAACGCAGCCUACACAAAAUAUAUUUGUUUGUGACAUUAAUUAGAUCACUAAUCCGCGAUAUAGUAUAUACAUCGUUUUUGUAAUUCAUAUAUAAUACUUGCAAAUAUAUAGAUUAUCAGAUAUUAUGGAAUUUUAGAGCAGUGUACACAUCAAUUGACUACUGGACUAAACCCCUAACUAGUUACCGAAAAAAAAUUAUGUGCAACCUGUAUGAUAACCAGAUGCAAGACGUCCCCGCGGAGUCCUACGGCGAUGGCUCCGACCGUGGCGGUCGCAGGUCCCACGAUAAACCGCAAAGCCAUUCCGACGACCGCCAAUCUCGGCCCGCACGCGAUCAACUUCUCUUGCAGUGCCAUGAAUUGUCCUAGACACCAGGACGAUGUCAAAAUUCUUGCAUGCUUCGCAAUACAAACUUUAGUCGAAAAUUUCAUUCUUAUUAAUUUAGAGGGAUAUAUAAAACUCGAUCUGCCUACCCAUGUUAAACAUAGCCAUUCCGGCACCGCCCCUCGACAUGAUCUGCACUGAUCCUUCGAUUACGCUCGGCAUCUCAAUGUGCCAUCUACAAACUCACGAAGAAGAUAAAUAUUUGAAUGUGUGCAAAUACUGAUGCUUAUUGUGCAAAAUGAAAAACAUAUAUAAAUUGGUUUUAUGGAGUUGAAAAAUUAAGUAGUUAUGGACAAAUCCUAAUUGAAAACAAAAAAAAAAAAAAAAAAAAAAAAAAAAAAAAAAAAAAAUUGAACAACAAUUUAUUUAAAUUUACUCCCAUUCUAAGAUCAAAAUUUUGCUGCUCACCUGCUGGCAAUGAAGGACCAAGUGAUGCCGACCAUGCUUGCGCAGAAUUUUGGAUUGACUGCGAACUUAAGCCAGACUGUCUUCAUCAGCACCCGAAAUGACACUGCAGUACUCGUUGUCUGCACUUCCGCGCCCUCCUCAAUAUCUUUAGUGACCUGCUUCCAUGAAAAUAAUAAUCUAAGAGGAAAAAUUAAAACGAAAAAAAUAAAGAUUGGAGAUCAAAAACAAUAGAGAAGUGCUGGUCUCAAUCCACCCCCUCUCAUCCAAAAGCUAGCCUAUGUUUCUUUACUUGUUUUCUUUCGCUUUUUCUUUAAAAAACUAAAAACUGAAAAAAAAGAAAAAAGGAUAUUGGUAAAUUUUAUAAUACUUGGAUGGAAGAAAGUAGAGAUUAGAAUCCUUUUUUUAGUAUAAAUUUAAUAUUUCUCUUUCUGAAAAUAAAAAACUGCGUACAUGGAACUAUAUAUUAGCUAUUUAUUAUUGAGUAAAUUAAAUAGAUUCAACUUUCUACCGAGUUAUAAUAAAUUUAGAAGACUAAUAAGAUGAGUUGGGUUAGUCCAAAUUAAAGUUGAGUGGGACCGUGGUACAUAAUAAAUCUUACGGCAAGAGGUCUAAUAAUAAACUUAACGUAUAGGUUGAGUCUAAUCGAAACCCAUGAGUAGUACUAUAGUUGAGCUUUUAAAUGCGAUAAAUAAGUUCUUUCUAUUAACAUGUGCUUUUGAAAUAGUUUGAUAGCAUUUACGAUUCACAGCAACUAUUAGAAAAUUUAAAGAAAAAAUUGACUCUUUCACAUUUGUAUAAUAUGGAAAUCCUUCUUCUCUUCAUUUCUUCCUGCAACAUUCAAACCAGAGAAGAAAUCACUAUUAUUAUUAUUAUUAUUAUUUUCUUCCAUGAUCUCUUUUCUCUUCUUCUUUACUGUUUUCUCUUCUUUCUAACGCGCUGAACUCUUUCGCAGUUUAGAUAAUGACCUUCUGCACGUUAUUAUAUUUGCUGUAAAGUUCUCUCAGUUCUGCUGAAAAAGAAGAAGAGGAAGAAGAAGAUCAAGAAACCGCAUACCGGCGGGCCAGGCGCGGUCGAAGAGGAGAAGCCAAGCCUCAUCUUCCUCAGCUCGAGGGCGAAGAGGAGCAUCGGCAUCCACACGGCGGCCUGCAGCACGGCGAGCUGCACCACCAGGUCCUGCGCCCACUUCCCGUACACGGCGCGCACCAGCGGCACCCCCACCACCAGCGUGUUGUUCAGCGUCGCCAGGGAGAACCCCGUCACCGCCCACCCCCCGCCCGAUCCGCCUUCCUUAUUCUUCCUCGCCGUCCUGCCGACGCACGCCGCCUGCGCGCACGCCAGCGCGGCGACCGUCACCGCCUUCGCGAUGGCGUCGGCCGCCAGCACGCGGUAGUUCAUGGCCAGCGGGUUCGUGUGGACCGUGAAGUCGAAGGAGAAGAAGGGGAGGGUGAAGAGCGUCACCAGGCGGUUGACGACGUCGCAUUGCUCCGGCGUGAACACCUUCCACCACCUCACCGACCCGUAGCCGAGCACCAGCGCCACGUACAGCGGCACCAUCGCCGCCGCCACCUUGUACACGUCCCCCCACCCUAUCAUCCUCUCUCUUUCCCUCUCUCUCUCUCUCUCUAGUGAUCAGUUACGUAAACUACUAUUGCUUUUGCUUUGCAAGAGUGGUUUGCAUGCAAGGGUUAAGGGUUGAUAUAUAUAUAUAUACAUAUGCGUGGUUCUCGGUAGCAUUUAUUAGAGAAAAACGGGCAUCUUUCCCAUGUAAUAGAAGUCCACGUACGUCUAGGAUCUACGGUGCAAACGUGGUUUGUGUGCUGGAGAUGAAGGGUUGGUCAUUCCAAUGGAAAAGGUGGUUUGGAACAUUAGAAUAUCAUUUAGUGAUUGAAUGAGGAGUGAGGAAGAGAGGAGGGAUAAAAUUAGCUAGAGACUUUAGUUGACGCAUGUUGUCGCAUGUGCUUAUGCAAUGUUGUCCAUUAAUUACAAUACGUAUAUACUUCCAAAAGCACGGAGAUCAGGUUCGUGGUCGUAAAUUAUUUUUAAUAAUAAAAUAUACAAUCGGUUUUAAUUAAAUAUAAUCUAUUUCUCUACAUGAAAGGAGGGUUUGGGGGGGCCUUGGGGUGACACGUGUCCCUCCAAACCCCCCUUUACACUCUCUCUCCCUCUAUAUAUAUUAUUAAUAUAUAUAUAUAUAUAUAUAUAUAUAUAUAUAUAUAUAUUGAUAUCAAAAUUUAAAAUUUUAAAUCUCUAAACUCUAUGAAAUUAAUUAAUUAAUUAAUUAUAUUAAUAAAUUCAUUGUAUAUAAUAUAAUUAAUUAAUAUUAUUAAUAAUACACGUAAUAAAUCGCAUAAUAAAAUCUAAUUUGAUCGAUGUAUAAAAAAAUACAUAAUUUAAAUUUGAGGAGUAAGAUUUUAGAAAUAUAGUGCGUAUGUGUAUAUAUAUAAUUAAUUUUAUUAAACAAAUUCUUCCAUUAUUUUAUUUCCCUUCUAUUUAUUUUUUUAAAUUAUUUUGAUAUAUUUAUCACAAAUCUUUUUUCGCAUAAAUCUUUAUAAAAUAAGUUGUCGUUUUAAUAAAUUUUAUUUAAAUAAAAUUAACUAUUAAAUUAUUUUUAUAUAACUUUUAUUUAAUUAAUAAUUAGACUUAUACAAUUAUUUAAAAAUAUAAAAAACUAAAAUUUAUUAAAAAAAUUUUAAAUCCGCAGCAUCGCGCGGGUAUUUCACUAGUUUACACUAUUAGAAAGUAAACAAAUAGGCAAAAGCAGUAAACAGAGACCAAACAUGACCUACUUUUGCUUUCCAAAUCAUGGGGCUGUUCUUUCUCAUAGUGAAGGAACUUUUCAAACCCAGGAUAACAUGCACUCAGAUGUGUGCAUGUCUUAAUUUGGCCAUUUAAGCUGAGCAUAAAAGCACUUCUAGCAGUAUCUAUCUGACUUUUGUACUGUAAAUGGGCAGCUAAGAGAGAGAGAGAGGACACUAAGUAUGGAGCACUAAUGAGGGUCUUUAUUGCGCCUUGCUUGUAUACUAAUUUGUCUAUAGUAGGAAGCAAACAAAGUAAAGCCAAAUUUUGGCCUUUGUGUCAUUUAAAUCUUUUUGGCAUCUGUUCUUGAACUUACUUAAAGAGGUUGAUAUAAAAAAAAAGGGCUUCAAAAAUGGCCUUAGUGUAUAUCUCUAUUCGCAUUCGUUUUGAAGAUCAAACAAGUGAUAAUAUGUGCACCGACAGAAGAAAUAAUAGAAGGGAAAACAAAUACGACCUGCGCCUAUUAAAGCGUGAUUGUGGGAAUUAAACUUAAGACAUGUUGGGAUCAAGAGCGUUUUGGAUCGACUUUGAUAGCAUGCCAUGCACCCAGAAGAACUGAUAAGAUAUGCUUUAAAUGAUCCUCGAGAUCAAAUUCCUUACCAAUUUCAUGUUGAGAUCGAAUUACUAAUUAAAAAUAGUGGAUUUCCAAGUCAUCUACCAUUAGAGAAUGUUUCUAGCGAAAUGUUUAUUAUGUUGCCCUUCCAAGUCAUUUACCACAAAAAAUUGAUGCUUUUUGUAUCUUUCCAUGUUGAUUUGAGUUGGAACUACUGCAAUUAAUGUUUAGUUCUUCCCAUGAAUAAUAAUAGUGUAACCUGAUAGAAGAGUCAAAUAGCAGCAAAGUAAAGGUCUUAAUUAGAACAUGAAUAGUAGUAGAACUUAACAAUUCCUAUUACUCUGAAUCUUCCUCUUACUUGUGGGCUAAUUUCAUUUUUAAGCCAUGAUUUUAAUUUGGAUUGAAUGUAAUUAAAUUAAAAUCCUAAAAUUUAUUAUACAUAAAGGUGUAUAAUUUAGUAAAUGUAGCAAGCAAAUACUCCACACGUAUGAUGACGUCUCAUUUUGCUCAAAACUUGUAACUCCAGAUAUUCAUAAAAAUUUGAAUAUUACAAAUCACAUCUAUCAAAUUAGAUUAUAACCAUCUAUCAACGAUUGCAAUGUAUAAAGUGUGCAUAUACCCCUGUUGGUCGCUUGGUUGGUAAAGCAAUAUUUAGGGAAUGUUUGGUAGAUUGUAAUUAACUACACUGAUGUAAGCAUAUCGUGUUAGAGAUUUAUAUCUCUUAGGGUGCGUUUGAUUCGCAUUAUGAAAGAUUACUAGGAAUAAAAGAUAUCCGAGAAUCUUAUUCCUAUUCAUCCUAUUACUAAGAAUGUGGAAUUCAUGUGUUUGGUUCGCACGGUAAUAUUAAUUAGCCAUGUUAUUUAAUAUUACAAAAAAUAUACAAUUAAUUAAUUAAUUUAUUUAUUUAAUUUUAAAUAAUGUUACCAAAAGUUUCAACAUCUUUUUAGAAAAAAGAGAGAGAGUAUAAGUUAGAGAGAGAGAGCAUAAUAAAAAAAAUAGAAAGAAAAAUAUAGUCGAAAUUAGAGGGAGUGAGAGAGUUGAAAUUUUAGAAAGAGAGAGAGAGAGAAAGCUUAGUUUAGAGAGAGAAAAAAAAGUUGAAUUUUAGAGAGAAAAAUAAGUUUAGAGAGAGAUAUAAGGUUAGAGUGUAAAGAAAAAUAAUAUCAAUUAGCCGGCGGGUAGGAAGAAAAAAAGAGAUUAGACAUAUUAUGAUUACCCCAAUCCAUUAAUAUGAGGAUACCCACCCCCCUCAAGGGAAUGAGAUUAGUACUUUGGGGUGAAUCUUAUUUCCAAGUGAAUCCAAUAUUACCAACUAGAUUACUUAGUGCGUUUAGCCAAACACCGUCAUAUUUUUUUAUUCCCAUUGGAUUACUAGGAAUCUUUAAAAGAUAGCGCGAACCAAACGCACCCUUAACGUAAUGACAAGACCAAGCCCAACCUAUUGAGAGUCAUGUUAAUGGGCUAAGACCCAGUUAAGCCCAAAAUACUUUGUUUAUUUAGCCCGAUAACGGGUCCGCCUGUUUAGACAUGAUUUUUUUUUUUUUUUUUGGUUCACUUUCGAUAAAUAGAAAAGCCUUUUAACUUCCCCUAUCGCCUAUCGGCUAAUCGGUAAGUAAAGUCAAUUUCACUGUAGGUUCGGAUCAAGCUAGGGUUCGAGCUCGCACAUUGGCGUAAUUGGCUCGACCCAAACCCCAAAUCCCGACUCGAUGUGUUGUUUCUUGCCCCAAAAGCUAACCCUCGUGACAAAACGCGAAUAAGUGAAGAAGACGACGAAGUAACACACCACACCACACCACACACCGUUUCUCCAUCGUCGUCGUCGUCCUCCUCCUCCUCAAACCCUCGAAACCCUCCUCGGCAAUGGCUCUGCGGCGCGAUUGGGUAUACGAGAACAAUGGCGGGUACUCAGAUCUCUCCCCCCAAUCUCUCUCUCUCUCUCUCUCUCUCUCUCUCUCUCUACAUGUGACGAGGUGGUGGUGUCGCAGGACGUGCGUGGCGAUCGCGGGCGCCGACUACUGCGUGGUGGCGGCGGACAUGAGGCUCUCGGUCGGAUACAGCAUCCUCACCCGCGACCACUCCAAGAUCUGCGAACUGUACGUGAUUUCCCUUUUUUUUUUAUAUAUCCCGUGUACCCUCUCUUUGAUCGAUUCGUUAUUUUGGGUCUUAGGGUUUGCUGUCUGAUCUUAGUUGAUUCGACGAAGAUUCUAAUUGUCGAUAAGAUUUAAUCGUGACUAUGGUGACGAAGACGAAGUUCGAUUGAAAGGGGAAAGGAGACACCUUUUUGUAAGGUUAACCUUAAAUAAUUUAUCUUUGUAUGGUGACAAUAAUUGGAGUUGUUUCGAGGAGGAAGUCGAUUUUGCUUGAUGCAGGGGUUGAAGAGAUUCAGGCAAAAUAGAAAUUUUAGAUCAGUCAAAUGGCCCUAUUGUUGUUGGAAUUUACUCUAUGAUUACCUUUACAUGGGGAUGAUGUUUGUUAAUUUAGGGUUUUUAGUUUAAUCUUAAUUGUGCUAGGAAAGGAUUAGUUUUGUUUGAGUGGAGAUAGAUAAAAAUUGCGUGU